GCAAACUUGGUCAUUUAGAGGAAGUACAAGUCGUAACAAGGUAUCCGUAGGUGAACCUGCGGAUGGAUCAUUACCAAAGGAAACUUUUUUCCCAAUGUUUUGUGAAUAGUUUUGACUAUAUUGUGCGGCGGUGGGGUGUUGUUUGUGGGGGAGAUGGUGUGUGAUGGUGUGGAUUUUGGGCGGUAUGCUCAGCGCGCCCACUCACACCCCGGAUCCCUGCACCCGCGCCCCCCCCGCCUCCUAUAAGAAACCGUAAUUUUUAAACUGAAGUCUGCUUUAGAGAUUGUAAAAAACUAAAGACAACUUUUAGCAACGGAUCUCUUGGCUCUCGCAUCGAUGAAGAACGCAGC
rnacentral:misc_RNA from 1 species